ACGACCGGGAAAUUAGCCCAGCACUGAAUCCUGUAUCUUUGAUACUAGGAGUUGUAGUGUAAAGGUUGGAUCUUUAAUUAUGGAACGCACUUCCAAAUUCACUUGAUUGUGAUAUUGUCCAGAGAGGGUGUUAGACCCGUUGGAAUGUGUGAGAUUGUUAAUGAUGCUUCCUAUGAGUCGGAUUGUUUGAGAAUGCAGUCCAAAUUGGGUGGUAAACUUCAUCUAAGGCUAAAUACUUGUGCUAGUCCGAUAGAAAACAAGUACCGUGAGGGAAAGUUGAAAAGAACUUUGAAGAGAGAGUUAAAUAGUACGUGAAAUCGCUUAGAGGUAAACGAGUGGAGCCGAAAAUGUUGUGUGGAAUUCAGUUGAUUGUAUUUUGAACGAUUAUUGGUGAUAUUUUUAAAAAGGGAAAUUGUCAAUAAUCUUANUUUCAAAUGCANACGAUGCACUUUCUAUGCAACAAAACUGCNAUCGAUAGCGUUGUUUUUCUGUCGUAAAAAUGAAGGUGAUUAAUUUUUCGAAAUUGGUUUUAUAGCAUUUUACACGGUCAAUCAAUUUAUCGGUGAAUACGAUUAAUCAAUGUUAGUGAUUAUUGAUAUGGAUUGUUUGAUUGUAAACUAAUAAUAGAUUACUUUGAAAUCUUUCAUGUUAUUUUUUGCUAAUAGAUUAAUCCAAAUCWGCAGUGUAUAUGUAGGUUAYCURCUCGUCCCCGUCUUGAAACACGGACCAAGGAGUUUUAUAUGAUCGCGAGUCAAAGGGCUUUACGAAACCCCASGGCGWAAUUAAUGURAAGGYYUGCRYUGGUARGCUGAAAUGUGACCUCGGCUUUAAUCGGUUGAGUGCAACAUUGACCCGUCUGAAGAAUUUCGAUUCUGGGCGGAGUUUGAGCGAUCAUGUAGAGACCCGAAAGAUGGUGAACUAUGCUUGUGCAGGUUGAAGUCAGAGGAAACUCUGAUGGAGGACCGCCGCGGUUCUGACGUGCAAAUCGAUCGUCGGACAUGAGUAUAGGGGCGAAAGACUAAUCGAACCAUCUAGUAGCUGGUUCCCUCCGAAGUUUCCCUCAGGAUAGCUGGCGUUUGAUUUGUUGUAGUUUUACCUGGUAAAGCGAAUGAUUAGAAGUAUUGGGGGCGAAAUGUUCUCAACUUAUUCUCAAACUUUAAAUGGGUUCGAAGUGCAGCUCGUUUUAUUAGAGCCGUACAUGGAAUACAAAUNCCUAGUGGGCCAUUUUUGGUAAGCAGAACUGGCGAUGUGGGAUGAACCAAACAUCCGGUUAAGGUGCCUAACAUUACGCUCAUGAGAAACCACAAAAGGUGUUGGUUGAUAAAGACAGCAGGACGGUGGACAUGGAAGUCGUCAUCCGCUAAGGAGUGUGUAACAACUCACCUGCCGAAUCAACCAGCCCUGAAAAUGGAUGGCGCUGUAGCGUGAGACCUAUACCGGAUCGAUAUCGUAAGGCGGAUUUUUGAUAAUCCAUACGAGUAUACGGUGUCGUGUAGGAGGGUGCCGUGAUUGCUAUGAAGCUACUGGCGUGAGUCAGAGUGAAGCGGUCCACGGGUACAGAUCUUGGUAG
rnacentral:rRNA from 1 species